CGGGGCGGGCCCGCGCAUGCACUUAAGGGGCGGUGUCUGGGCGGCGGUGGGUAGUGCCAAGAUGUCGACCGUGGCGGUGCCGGAGCUGAAGCAGAUCAGCCGGGUGGAGGCGAUGCGCCUCGGGCCGGGCUGGAGCCACUCGUGCCACGCCAUGCUGUACGCCGCAAACCCCGGGCAGCUCUUCGGCCGCAUCCCUAUGCGCUUCUCGGUGCUGAUGCAGAUGCGCUUCGACGGGCUGCUGGGCUUCCCCGGGGGCUUCGUGGACCGGCGCUUCUGGUCGUUGGAGGACGGACUGAACCGGGUGCUGGGCCUGGGCCUGGGCUGCCUGCGCCUCACGGAGGCAGACUACUUAAGCUCACACCUGACCGAGGGCCCGCACCGCGUCGUGGCGCACCUGUACGCGCGGCAGCUGACGCUGGAGCAGCUGCACGCCGUGGAGAUCAGCGCGGUGCACUCGCGCGACCACGGCCUGGAGGUGGGGCCGCCGCCCGGGCCCCGCCCCCCGCCCCGGGGUUUGGCUCUGGCCCCGCGGAAGGCACCGAUGGGUGCUGGGACUUGUGCGCGUCCCACUGUACACCCAGAAGGACCGAGUUGGUGGCUUUCCCAACUUCCUGAGCAACGCUUUCAUCAGCACAGCCAAGUACCAGCUCCUCUUUGCCCUCAAGGUGCUCAAUAUGAUGCCGGAGGAGAAGCUGGCUGAGGCCUUGGCUGCAGCCACAGAAAAGCAGAAGAAGGCCCUGGAGAAGCUGCUCCCGUCUUCCUCCUGAGCACAGGCUGUAGGUGCCGCGAGGAGAUGGUUUGGCAGCACUGGCUGGAUGUGCAGGAUGCCAACGGCAGAGCCCCCAGGGCAGGAAGGUCAGCACGGGCCGUCUCUUCGGCACUGUCCAGAAAGACGCCUCAGUGAUGCUGACAGUCCCCACGGCACCAGCCUGGCCUGGUAAGGAACUCAGUGCUCCCGGCCCUGCCCAGUGCCCCACCUUAGAGCCUCAACGGAGCGGCAGGCACACGUGGGCGAGGGCACCUUGCUCUGUAAAUAAAACACCUGCACCCUG